CUGCUUANCAUGCAGUCNAACGGGUGUAGCAAUACAUCAGUGGCGGACGGGUGAGUAACACGUGAGCAACCUGCCUUAGUCAGGGGAAUAACAUCCAGAAAUGGGUGCUAAUACCGCAUAAGACCACGCCUCGGCAUCGGGGAGGGGUAAAAGGAGAAAUCCGGAUUAAGAUGGGCUCGCGUCCCAUUAGGUAGUUGGUGAGGUAACGGCCCACCAAGCCCGCGAUGGGUAGCCGACCUGAGAGGGUGAACGGCCACACUGGAACUGANAAACGGUCCAGACUCCUACGGGAGGCAGCAGUGGGGAAUAUUGGUCAAUGGGGGAAACCCUGAACCAGCAACGCCGCGUGAGUGAAGAAGGUCUUCGGAUUGUAAAGCUCUUAAGAGGGGGAAGAAAAAAAUGACGGUACCCCUAAAGCAAGCCACGGCAAACUACGUGCCAGCAGCCGCGGUAAUACGUAGGUGGCAAGCGUUGUCCGGAAUGACUGGGCGUAAAGGGUGCGUAGGCGGCUUUUAAAGUUAGAAGUGUAAUCCUUAAGCUUAACUUAAGUGCUACUUCUAAAACUUAAGAGCUUGAGUGUGGGAGAGGUAAGUGGAAUUCCUAGUGUAGCGGUGGAAUGCGUAGAUAUUAGGAGGAACACCAGUGGCGAAGGCGGCUUACUGGACCAUAACUGACGCUGAGGCACGAGAGCGUGGGGAGCAAACAGGAUUAGAUACCCUGGUAGUCCACGCCCUAAACGAUGGAUACUAGGUGUAGGGGGGUAUCGACUCCCCCUGUGCCGUCGCAAACGCAAUAAGUAUCCCCGCCUGGGGGAGUACGGCCGCAAGGGUUGAAACUCAAAGGGAAUUGACGGGGACCCGCACAAGCNGCGGAANCNUGUGGUUUAAUUNCGAAGCAACGCGAAGAACCUUACCAGGNCCUUGACCUUCCCNCCCCAAAUUCCCAAAANAAUGGGGAAAGUUUCCUUUUCGGGGNACNCCGGAAAAACAGGGUGGGUGCCAUGGGUUUGUUCCUCCNAGCCUUCCGGGGUCCNNNGANAAAUGUUNCCGGNUUAA
rnacentral:rRNA from 1 species